UAGUUUAAUUUUCUCAAACAUGGCUGGGAGACAGAUCUGCCCUGAAGGCAGGCAGAGACCUACAUUCUGCAGAGAGAUGGAAGGAGGGGUGGAAAUGGAUGGAGAAGCCAUGAGAGGGUCUCCUGCCUCUUGACUGGCCGGAGGGUUAAGGGAUGUUCUCCGAAGCCAGAGCGAGAAAGAAAGAAAGCAAGGAAUCCUUUUCGUAAAUCACAGCCCACGACAGGAUGGAACCCUUGGUGCCACCCCUCCUCUGGUGACAUCACUUCCUGUCAGGGGUUAUCACGUUAUCUCAGAGGACAGCUGGCAGAUGGUCAGCCUGUACCAAUCCCUGUAUCCUCAAAUACUAAAUCCUUU
ensembl:lncRNA